UUUAUAUAAUAUGUUCUGAAUUUGACCUUUUUUGUAGGGAAUACAGAGAUUGAUGUGGAUAAUGGAAAAGACCUGGAUAUAUUUGAAAUAAAUGAAGCGGCAGGACUUGACCUGGUGGAAGGAGACAUUCUGAUAAAUGAGGGAGAAGACAGAAACACUAUUCUUGGUGAAAAGUAUCGUUGGCCAACCA